rnacentral:rRNA from 1 species
UACGUAGGGUGCAAGCGUUAAUCGGAAUUACUGGGCGUAAAGCGUGCGCAGGCGGUUUGUAAGUCAGAUGUGAAAUCCCCGGGCUUAACCUGGGAACUGCGUUUGAAACUACAAGGCUAGAGUGUGGCAGAGGGGGGUGGAAUUCCACGGUGUAGCAGUGAAAUGCGUAGAGGAUGUGGAGGAACACCGAUGGCGAAGGCAGCCCCCUGGGUUAACACUGACGCUCAGGCACGAAAGCGUGGGGAGCAAACAGG